rnacentral:rRNA from 1 species
UACGAAGGGUGCAAGCGUUAUUCGGAGUUACUGGGCGUAAAGAGUAUGUAGGCGGUUUGUUAAGUUAGUUGUUAAAUACCAUGGCUCAACUGUGGAAAGGCAGCUAAUACUGAUGAGCUAGAGCGCAGAAGAGAGGAGUGGAAUUCCCGGAGUAGCGGUAAAAUGCGUAGAUCUCGGGAGGAACACCGGUUGCGAAGGCGGCUCCUUGGUCUGUGGCUGACGCUAAAGUACGAAAGCGUGGGGAG